UAAAAUACCAGAAACCACAGAAGAGUCUAAACCAACUGCUGGAAUAGCACUUCGACGCAUUUCAGUAAGGCCAUUUGCCUGCUACUUCAUCUCGGAAAACUGCUAGGUGUGGAAUUAAGAAUUCUGAUCUUCCAGAUUUAAAAUACAAGUACAGAAAAUACCCAGCUUUACAUACUGUUCUGUUUCCCACCUACGGCACUUGCUUGAGACACUACCUUAGGCCUCCACGUGAUUCCAGAUCUGCAUAUUAAAAGGACAUUGUGGUGGAUUUCUCACUUAUGCUUCAUAGUUCAGUGCAAAGAUCUGAAAAGGCCUGACGAAGACGAACUUCCCAUGAAUUACCAAAAAUUAGACUUGACUCAAGGAUAAGAAGAGAGGUGAAAGAGAAACGGUGGCUAAAGAGGCAGUCCAGAUCAGUAAUGGACCAGAAAGUGGGAUGCUUCUGAUGAGGUUUACCUUGGAGGUGCCAAACCGAGUUCUGCAGCAUUUCAUUCUGUCAGAGUCAAUAAGGGACAGUCUGGAAUUCAUGAAACUGUUCCCAAUAGCUCAGUCUCAAAACAUUCCUCUCAUUGAAUUUCUAACUCUUCCAAUAAUUGUCAGUGGUGAUGAUGAUGGGUCGACUACCGAGGCUACAGAGAAAGCAUCAGUUAUUGAAUUUGAGUAGCGCAACGCAUCAGGCAAUUCCAGUAAUGGUCCUGAGAACUUUGUCUCUAUGAAUCGACCUUCUUCAGAAGAUCAGAUUGCUAAUGGAGCUGUACUGAGUUUUUCAGAAUAAGAAACUCAGUUAGAAGUUCACGACACUUGUCAGGGUGAAGUGCAGUUUGGUGAGUCCAAUAGAGAGAACUGUAAAGCCGAGUUGACAGAUAGUGAAACAAAGUCAGCUGGACUUCUAUUUGGGAGAUAGCCUUGGAGAAAGAGAACUCGAGAAGACAAUAUGGAACCACUCCCUCUUAAGAAAGGUGAAGGUAGAUCAUUCAUAAUAUCAGGAUCCAAUCAGAAUCAAAGAGCUACAUUUGUCCAAUUUUUGUUGAGGUUUGAGAAUGACAGAAAUGGGGAAUUUUCAUCCUAAAGACUCAUUGGAGAAGUCAGAGAAUGAGCUGAAUACUGUCAAGUCUUUCAUGAAUCAUAAUUAUGAACAUGAUACCAAAAAUGCAAGCUUAGUGCCCGAGCCUGCUGAGAAUCUGAUCUAGGAAAUUGCAGUUCUGAGGCUGGAAGCGUCUGUCCAGGACAAUAUCUCCUCUCAUUGCAGCUGAGAAGCAGAGGAUGCUGCAGGAGAAUUCUACAGGCUUUGAGUUGCGGAUGGGGUCAUCUUUGAGCCACUCAGGGGUGCACAUGCAGAUCUGUCUUGAACUCUUUCCAGUGUAUUGAAGCAUUGUCUGUUAUAGAUAAUUUUCUGAAGCUGAAAUAUAAAGACUGUAAAAAUUCCAAAGCUCUCAAUAAGGCCGCCCCUGUGAAUCUUGCAUAUCAUGCCUAUGGUACACCUUAGUCAAUCAUUGUACUGUGUUAACAACCAGAAUUCGGAUUUCCAAUGCGCCUGAAGAGAGAUGGAUAUGGUUCUAUCAAGCACAAAAAAAUUGAUUUCCAUGUGUCAUUUAUUCUUUUGAGCAAGAGUUACAACCAAGGAAGAUAGAAAAACUACAGAUGAAAUAGAACCUCCAGAUUGCAGAGUGGUUAUCAAACUCCAGGAUUCUGCAGUCGCAGAAGUCUUUGGGCAGUCUCCUCAGCCUUUCAUCAACUUCAAUUGCAGCAACAAUUUCCUCAGGCACUUGUCAGACUAAAAUGCUUGGAAAAAGACUUGAAAUUUUGAUUUGGGCACCAAAGAGAGCAGAGCGCAGUUAAGGAUCCAGCAUCAGCAAUGCAAUUCCAGUCUCAAGUGCACUCGCAGGCUCUUCUCCGUGUGGCCACCUCGGUUGGAGGUCAAACAAGCAUCAGAAGGAACCCAAGAAGUCCCAGGACUAGGUUAAGCUCGUGUUUAUGGCAUAGAUGAAGUGUGGGGACUGCUUCAAUCUGGAAGCUGAAUUAGAUCUGUUGGAUCCACUAAUGCUAAUGAGCUCAGCAGCUGCUCUCACUGCACUUGGCUGCAGCGAAACGUAAUGAAGAAAUUGUGAGGUUUCUCAUUCAACACAGAGCCAACACUAACUGCAUAGAUAAUUUUUGAAAAUUCACCUCUUUUUGAGGCUGUCAAGGCUGGGCAUGAUAGCAUUGCUUUGCUUCUCAUCAAGCAUGGCUCAACCUUGAAUUUGGAAGAUGCUGGAUGGUAGCUUUGUAAGGCUGUAAUGGAUAGCAACAUUGAUUUGUUAAAGUAUUUGUUGGAGAAUGGAGUUAACCCAAACUCAAGGAACUAUGACCUACAAACACCUCUACAUUUUGCAGCAGCAGAAGGUUUGCACCUUGUGGCAAAUAUCUUGAUCAAAUUUGGAGCAGAUGUUCUAUCCAAAGACAGGGUUCUUGGAAGCUCUCAGGUUGGUAAAAGCUGUCAUUCAGAAAAAUGAAGCCCUUUCAACUGAUGAGAUGGCUCCAGCUUCUCAACUGGGAGGGAGAAAUGAUUGAAGAACAAUGUGGGGACAUUCCUUCAGUAGGAUUUGAAAAUUCGUGCUCUAUAUUUAGUCUACACAAAGACAAGGCAAAAGUUGCUUUCAUGCACACUAAGUCAAAAUUCUGGUGUGAGGUGGUAUUUGAGGAUGUAAUAGACAGCUAUGGGAUGGUACUUGAGAAGUACAAGAAGACCAGAAAGCAAUAUAUGAAUGGGAUGCUUUCACAGCACUGUAAAGGACAAUAGAUGUGGAGAUCGUUAUCUUGGAUUACCUCUUUAUUUUAUAUCAUUCUUCAUUUUUCUGCAAAAA